rnacentral:rRNA from 1 species
CGCUGAGUUUGAUCCUGGCUCAGAUUGAACGCUGGCGGCAUGCCUUACACAUGCAAGUCGAACGGUAGAGGGGCAACCCUUGAGAGUGGCGAACGGGUGAGUAAUAUAUCGGAACGUGCCCAGUCGUGGGGGAUAACGUAGAGAAAUUUACGCUAAUACCGCAUACGAUCUAAGGAUGAAAGCGGGGGACCGUAAGUCCUCGCGCGAUUGGAGCGGCUGAUAUCAGAUUAGGUAGUUGGUGAGGUAAUGGCUCACCAAGGCGACGACGGGUAGCCGGCCUGAGAGGGCGACCGG